AAGUCGUAACAAGGUUUCCGUAGGUGAACCUGCGGAAGGAUCAUUAUUUGAAUUGUGAAUGGGGCUUGAUGCUGGCUUGUCCAUCCUUUGGCUGCAUGUGCUCGCCCCCAGCAAUCCUUUUUCCAAACACCUGUGCACCUUCCUUUGUGAGAAUGGGAGAGAAAGGGCUUGCCUUUUUUAUCUCGUCUCAUGAUUCAUAAAACGCUGUUUGUAAUGUUGAAUGCAUUUAUGCCGUCAAGGCUUUAACCUAAUACAA
rnacentral:misc_RNA from 1 species